UGACAGAAGAGGGUGAGCAC
rnacentral:miRNA from 1 species